UGUAGGGACCCGAAAUUGGCCACCCCAGGAUAUGUCUCUUUGGCAUCAGGAUUGUUUUGGGCUGAUUGCUUUCGAUAAACUGGGACAGGGAAGGAGGCUCUGGGGAAUGGAACUUGCCCUUGUUGGGACACAUUUACAUUUGUAAGGGAAACCUCUAUCUGUGAAGAUGCCUCCCUCUCUGUGCCAGGAAGAGGGGGGGAUGGUCUUAUCUCUAGAGGCUCUUGGUCAAUGCCAGAGGCAAGAACUUAAGUUGGUUGCUGUCUGGCAAUCUCAUGUAACUGGUUUAGGGAGGUGGUGUCUAACCUUUCUAACCUUUACUUAAUCCGAUUUGAUUCUUGUCUAAAAGUCAUGGGAUCACCCAAUGACCAGACCCCACCCGCACUGAUACCAUUUUAACUUUUUUUCAUGUUCUUUCCUUUGUCUUGUAAAGAGAUGAAUCAUAUACCUAUGCCUUAUAAAAUUAGCCCUAACCCUCAACUCGGGGCAGCAGCAGGAGCUCUGACUGCCCGUGGGUCCUGUCCCCUCGCACCAGCUCUGCCUGCCCAUGGGCUCUGUCCCCAUGCCAGCGGGGGCAGCAGAAGCGGCGGCAGCAGAAGCUCUGACUGCCCAUGGGUCCUGUCCCCAUGCUAUUCCACACUAUUUUCUAAAUAAAAGAGCACUACUACAAAAAAAAAAAAAAAGCACACAUUAAUCUCGUGUGGAUUUUCCAAGCUAGUAGGAUUUAGUAAGAGAAUUGUUAAAUGUAACCCAAAAUCCUGGGAAAGAAUAUGAUUUUUGCAUUUUAGACUUUAUUAAAAUGAAUGAGGUUUCCAGUUCUCAUUUCAACAUCUUACUAUGCUAAGUUUUGUGGCU
rnacentral:lncRNA from 1 species